AUGGCAUCACUGGCUCCCCUUCUCUGCCUCGUGGUGCUCUGGGUCCAGGGUUCCUCUGGGCAGAUUGUGCUGACUCAGACCCCAGAGUCCCUGGCGGUGUCUGCAGGAGAUCGAGUGACCAUCAAGUGCAAAGCCAGCUCCAGCCUUACUGAUAGUAGUUAUCAGUACUUAGCCUGGUACCAGCAGAAACCUGGACAAGCUCCAAAGCUCCUCAUCUAUGAUGGUUCCACACAGCAGUCGGGAGUCCCAGCCCGGUUCAGCGGCAGUGGCUCUGGCACUGAUUUCACUCUCACCAUCAGCAGUGUUGAAGCUGAAGAUGCUGGAGAUUAUUACUGUCACCAGUACCGCAUUGAUCCUCACACAACUUCUUGUGUCAGACAGAGCUCAGCCACACACGAGAAGCAGCUCUGCGACCGCUCGGAUUUGACCAAGCAUGCUUACCACAAGAUGUCUGGGUAG